rfam:Anopheles minimus strain MINIMTS1 unplaced genomic scaffold supercont1.34, whole genome shotgun sequence.
GGUCCGGUGGCCGAGGAGAUAAGCGGCGCCGGUCUCAUACGCCAGGACCGGGGUUCAAAUCCCAUCUGGACCG